rnacentral:tRNA from 1 species
GGCUUGUUACCGAACAUUGCGGUCCGCGAGAUAAGCCGGAUUGCAAAUCCGUCCACACCGGUUCGAUUCCGGUACUCGCCUCCA